ACUAGUUUUAAAUGAAUAUAUCCGUCAAUAUCAUAUAAGCUCUCUUAUUAAGUAUACAACAUCAGUCUACUAAUAUUUUGUACUCAGCAAUUAUUUUUCUCAACUAAAUAGUAUAUGUAACCGACAGAAUUCUAACUCAACCUCUGCUACUCUGAUGGCACACAACAACGACUUUUUCUUCUGCAAAUAAGUUGAUCUACUUACACAAACGAUAUUUUUAAUAUUUUAUACCUACCAAUCUCAAUCAAUCCUCUUCUUUAGAACAUCAUUUAGGACCACCCACGUACUU
rnacentral:lncRNA from 1 species